GACGUAGGGCGCAAGCGUUGUCCGGAUUUAUUGGGCGUAAAGAGCUCGUAGGCGGCUUGUUGCGUCGACCGUGAAAACCCGCGGCUCAACUGCGGGCUUGCGGUCGAUACGGGCGAGCUGGAGUUCGGCAGGGGAGACUGGAAUUCCUGGUGUAGCGGUGAAAUGCGCAGAUAUCAGGAGGAACACCGGUGGCGAAGGCGGGUCUCUGGGCCGAUACUGACGCUGAGGAGCGAAAGCGUGGGGAGCGAACAGG
rnacentral:rRNA from 1 species